rnacentral:rRNA from 1 species
AUUGAACGCUGGCGGCAUGCUUUACACAUGCAAGUCGAGCGGUAACAGGCCGCAAGGUGCUGACGAGUGGCGAACGGGUGAGUAAUGCAUCGGAACGUGCCCAGCCGUGGGGGAUAACUACUCGAAAGAGUAGCUAAUACCGCAUACGAUCUAUGGAUGAAAGCGGGGGACCGUAAGGCCUCGCGCGAUUGGAGCGGCCGAUGUCAGAUUAGGUAGUUGGUGGGGUAAGGGCUCACCAAGCCAACGAUCUGUAGCUGGUCUGAGAGGACGACCAGCCACACUGGGACUGAGACACGGCCCAGACUCCUACGGGAGGCAGCAGUGGGGAAUUUUGGACAAUGGGCGCAAGCCUGAUCCAGCAAUGCCGCGUGCAGGAAGAAGGCCUUCGGGUUGUAAACUGCUUUUGUACGGAACGAAACGGCUCUGGUUAAUACCCGGGGCUAAUGACGGUACCGUAAGAAUAAGCACCGGCUAACUACGUG